CAGGCCUAACACAUGCAAGUCGAACGGGACCUUCGGGUCUAGUGGCGCGCGGGUGCGUAACGCGUGGGAAUCUGCCCUGGGGUCUGGGAUAACGGUUGGAAACGACUGCUAAUACCGGAUGAUGACGUAAGUCCAAAGAUUUAUCGCCCUGGGAUGAGCCCGCGUAGGAUUAGCUAGUUGGUGUGGUAAGAGCGCACCAAGGCGACGAUCCUUAGCUGGUCUGAGAGGAUGAUCAGCCACACUGGGACUGAGACACGGCCCAGACUCCUACGGGAGGCAGCAGUGGGGAAUAUUGGACAAUGGGCGCAAGCCUGAUCCAGCAAUGCCGCGUGAGUGAUGAAGGCCUUAGGGUUGUAAAGCUCUUUCAGCUCCGACGAAGCGAAAGUGACGGUAGGAGCAGAAGAAGCACCGGCCAACUACGUGCCAGCAGCCGCGGUAAU
rnacentral:rRNA from 1 species